rnacentral:rRNA from 1 species
UACGUAGGUGGCAAGCGUUGUCCGGAAUUAUUGGGCGUAAAGCGCGCGCAGGUGGUUUAAUAAGUCUGAUGUAAAAGCCCACGGCUCAACCGUGGAAGGUCAUUGGAAACUGUUAAACUUGAGUGCAGGAGAGAAAAGUGGAAUUCCUAGUGUAGCGGUGAAAUGCGUAGAGAUUAGGAGGAACACCGGUGGCGAAAGCGGCUCUCUGGCUUGUAACUGACGCUGAGGCUCGAAAGCGUGGGGAGCAAACAGG